rnacentral:rRNA from 1 species
UAACGACUCUCGGCAACGGAUAUCUCGGCUCUCGCAUCGAUGAAGAACGUAGCGAAAUGCGAUACUUGGUGUGAAUUGCAGAAUCCCGUGAACCAUCGAGUCUUUGAACGCAAGUUGCGCCCAAAGCCGUUAGGCCGAGGGCACGUCUGCCUGGGUGUCACG